rnacentral:rRNA from 1 species
AGAGUUUGAUUAUGGCUCAGGAUGAACGCUGGCGGCGUGCCUAACACAUGCAAGUCGAACGGAGUAAUUAAGCGGAAGUUUCGGAUGGAAGCAUAGUACUUAGUGGCGGACGGGUGAGUAACGCGUGGGCAACCUGCCCUGUACCGGGGGAUAACACUUAGAAAUAGGUGCUAAUACCGCAUAAGCGCACAGCUUCGCAUGAAGGUGUGUGAAAAACUCCGGUGGUACAGGAUGGACCCGCGUCUGAUUAGCUAGUUGGUGGGGUAGAGGCCUACCAAGGCGACGAUCAGUAGCCGGCCUGAGAGGGUGACCGGCCACAUUGGGACUGAGACACGGCCCAAACUCCUACGGGAGGCAGCAGUGGGGAAUAUUGCACAAUGGGGGAAACCCUGAUGCAAGCGACGCCGCGUGAGUGAAGAAGUAUUUCGGUAUGUAAAGCUCUAUCAGCAGGGAAGAAAAUGACGGUACCUGACUAAGAAGCCCCGGCUAACUACGUGCCAGCAGCCGC